AUCAAGCUGACGAGUCCCGAAUAGGACGAAACACGCGUCAAAGUGGAU
rfam:Schistosoma mansoni strain Puerto Rico chromosome 4, complete genome